UAGGGAAUCUUCCACAAUGGGCGAAAGCCUGAUGGAGCAACGCCGCGUGUGUGAUGAAGGGUUUCGGCUCGUAAAACACUGUUGUAAGAGAAGAAUGACAUUGAGAGUAACUGUUCAAUGUGUGACGGUAUCUUACCAGAAAGGAACGGCUAAAUACGUGC
rnacentral:rRNA from 1 species